AUAAACCUAUAUUUGUAGAGAUAAUAAAAAUUGCAUGUGAUAAAUGACAGAGCAGUGUGAAAUGUAACAAAUUCCGUGUUUGGUAGAGACAAGAGGAUCAUAAUACAAGAUAAAGUUGGGGUGUCAGAGAAGUCAAAAUUAAAUCCAGUGUCUCGACGAUCGUAAGAAUGGUUUCUUGCCGUUAUAUAGCCGUAACAACAUAGCGUAAUGGUGAAAUCUGGUCUAAUCACAGACAGAUAGCUGUGUCGGAUUGUAAAGCUGAAAGCCUCGUCUAUCUCUGCAGGUGGCCAGGCUGAGUGUCAUUUUCGCUGACAUGGCUUUGGCAUCAGGGCAAUUUUCCCACAUCCAGGGUCACGGCAUCCAGCCCUGACAGGUGGUCCGAGAUGAACAGCUCCCUGGAGAUACAACCGUCCACUGUCUACGUCUCGCUCACCUACCCACUGGGAGAUGUCACAGCAGCACCUACAGUCAGAAGGUCAUUCGGCAGUAUCCGUGAUCUAAGAUAUAUAUGGACCAGUUGGGACAUUUAUAUAUGGUAUAGUUCUAUCUCUCGACGUCUUUCAUACUUAAAGAUAUUGUAGAAAGCAGAAUGGACUGUCUCGGAGGUUACUGGAACGGAAUGACCUAUCCACAAUAAGAAUGUCUAUAUACUUUCUUGUUUCUACAAAUUCGAAAAACAUGUCGAAGGUUUCCAGUAACGGGCAAGCUGAGUGUAAAAUAGGAAGGUUUAGCUUAUGACAUAAUUUACAACCAACAGUGACAAAACGUCUAUACGUUGAAGUGCAAGCUGAAGGUGUGGCCAGGUUACACUGCCCAGGGACCUUCUAUAUCUGUGUAAUGUUAGUUCGUACUCUUCUAGCUAUCUAUAAAAAUAUCUCAAGAUAUUUUCUUGUAAAUUUAAAAAUAUUCUAUUAUUAAAAUGAAUUUAAAGAUAACCAUCUGGUCCGUUUUAUCAGUAAAUUACACACAGUUUAUCAGCCGAUUUUGAUU